GCUGGGUGUGGUGGCUCACGCCUGUAAUCCCAGCACUUUGGGAGGCCGAGGCGGGUGGAUCACCUGAGGUCAGGAGUUCGAGACCAGCCUGGCCAACAUGGUGAAAUCCUGUCUCUA
ensembl:misc_RNA Metazoa_SRP Metazoan signal recognition particle RNA